AUUGAACGCUGGCGGCAGGCCUAACACAUGCAAGUCGAGCGGAGCGGCGGACGGGUGAGUAAUGCCUAGGAAUCUGCAUGGUAGUGGGGGAUAACGUCCGGAAACGGGCGCUAAUACCGCAUACUAUCAGAUGAGCCUCGGCCGGAUUAGCUAGGUGGUGGGGUAAAGGCCUACCAAGGCGACGAUCCGUACCUGGUCUGAGAGGAUGAUCAGUCACCCUGGGACUGAGACACGGUCCAGACUCCUACGGAGGGCAGCAGUGGGGAAUAUUGGACAAUGGGGGAAAGCCUGAUCCAGCCAUGCCGCGUGUGUGAAGAAGGUCUUCGGAUUGUAAAGCACUUUAAGUUGGGAGGCGUUACCGACAGAAUAAGCACCGGCUAACUUCGUGCCAGCCGCCGCGGUAAUUC
rnacentral:rRNA from 1 species